AUGCAUACGCGUGCUGCCGCGAGCGGCGAGGACCUCUUCCGCGUCCUCCCCGAUGAGCUCCUCCGGCAUGUGAUAUCCUUUCUGCCGUCCGACGACGCCCUGCAGACUUGUGUGCUCGACACCCGGUGGCGCAACCUUUGGAGAAGCACGACCAGCCUGGACCUCAACUUUGUUUAUGGGUGCUCAAGAAUCCUGAGCUGCGAGCGUUUCAAAACGAUGGUGAAGCUGAUUAUCCUUCUCCGCGGGAAUUCGCUCCUCGUCAAGGGUGGAAUCAAUGCCUGCGAAAAUAAAAUUCAGAGCGCCUGCGCCCCGGCCCGCUUAAGCUGGGCGUCCAUAUACCUAGGGACUGGGGCUAGCUGUUCCCGUAAUUGA
rnacentral:rRNA from 1 species